AGUGAACGCUGGCGGUAGGCCUAACACAUGCAAGUCGAACGGCAGCACAGUAAGAGCUUGCUCUUACGGGUGGCGAGUGGCGGACGGGUGAGGAAUACAUCGGAAUCUACUUUUUCGUGGGGGAUAACGUAGGGAAACUUACGCUAAUACCGCAUACGACCUACGGGUGAAAGCAGGGGAUCUUCGGACCUUGCGCGAUUGAAUGAGCCGAUGUCGGAUUAGCUAGUUGGCGGGGUAAAAGCCCACCAAGGCGACGAUCCGUAGCUGGUCUGAGAGGAUGAUCAGCCACACUGGAACUGAGACACGGUCCAGACUCCUACGGGAGGCAGCAGUGGGGAAUAUUGGACAAUGGGCGCAAGCCUGAUCCAGCCAUACCGCGUGGGUGAAGAAGGCCUUCGGGUUGUAAAGCCCUUUUGUUGGGAAAGAAAAGCAGCAGGUUAAUACCCCGCUGUUCUGACGGUACCCAAAGAAUAAGCACCGGCUAACUUCGUG
rnacentral:rRNA from 1 species